ACACCUCGUAUGAGUAUUGCCCAAGCAGUACUUGAUUACGCUUGAUGUCUGAGGCUGCACAUUGUACUUGUAACUAUCAUUACUUGUUUGAGAUGUACUAAGUGGUGUGGUGUUGUUUUGUAGGUUACUGGAUGCUCUGGUCAGUGCAAGUUGAGGAAUGAAAUGGACCAGAAGAGCUCACUUCCAUUGUUGGCAUCAAAGCAGCUGUAAAGCUUAUUUAUUCAAAUGUAGAGGCUUUAAUUUGGAUUUACUUUAAAGCACCUGUGACUUGUUAUGCAUUUUGAAUGAAACAUGAAAGGUAUAUUGUAUGACUGAAAUGUAAGUUAUUAAAAAAAGUGAAACAAUUUGCUGUUUUUAAUGUAUGA